AAUAAUAUAAUUUAUAUUUAUUAAUUAAUUUUUUUAAAUUUUUAAAAAUUAUUUUUAUGUGAAAUUAUUAUUGUGAGAUGACGAUGAUGAGUGGUGGUGGUGGUGGUGGUGGUUGUAAUAAAAGUGUAUAUUGAACCUUAAACCAAUGUAUACGGCCAUACUAGGUUGGAAACACAUCAUCCCGUUCGAUCUGAUAAGUAAAUCGACCUCAGGCCUUCCAAGUACUCUGGUUGGAGACAACAGGGGAACAUAGGGUGCUGUAUACUUUAUUUAUUUUUUUAUAAAAUAGCUUUUUGAACUAUAAUGUCAUCCAAUUAUAAUAAUUUAUAUAUAUUUGAAUAGAGAAUUGAAAUAUAUACCAAAUUAUAAUAAUUUUAUUAAAAAAUAAUGAAAUUAAAAUUCAUAAAAUUAAUAAAAAUUGAUUUUUUUUAUAAUUUUUUUUUUUUAAAAUUAAAUUUUAAUAAUUAAAAUUUUUUUUUAAUCAAUUGAAACUAGUGUAAUCUGAUAUAAAAUUAAAAUUUAAAUCUAUAUACGCCUAUUUCAUUAAAUUUGAAGGUUAUUUUAUUUGAUAGAGACAGAUUUACAAUUUUUUUUUUUUGAAAAUUUUUUAGGGUGAAAAAAUUUAAUUUAAUAUUUUAUCGAGUCAAUAAUUUUUUUUAAUUUUUUUUAAAGGUCCUAAAAGAU
rnacentral:rRNA from 1 species